rnacentral:rRNA from 1 species
CACGUAGGGGGCAAGCGUUGUCCGGAAUCAUUGGGCGUAAAGAGCUCGUAGGCGGCUCAGUAAGUCGGGUGUGAAACCCCUAGGCUCAACCUAGGGACGCCACCUGAUACUGCUGUGGCUAGAGUCCAGUAGGGGAGUGUGGAAUUCCCGGUGUAGCGGUGAAAUGCGCAGAUAUCGGGAGGAACACCAGCGGCGAAGGCGGCACUCUGGGCUGGUACUGACGCUGAGGCGCGAAAGCGUGGGGAGCGAACAGG